rnacentral:sRNA from 1 species
GCCCACAUAACUUUGUACUCGAGCUCGACAGGUAGGUGACAUGAUUUUCCAUAGAGGAAAUUAAAAGGACUUGUACCAAUGGGUGUCUUGAAAGCUGUCCUGUAAGCCCACAGUGCGUCAUCAAGCUUUGCAGACCAGUCUUUCCUUGUAAUCUCAACAGUCUUUUCCAGAAUUGUUUUUAUCUCCCUGUUAGAGAUCUCAACCUGCCCGCUUGUCUGUGGAUGAUAAGGGGUGGCGACUUUGUGCUUUACUCCAUGCUUCUUCAGGAGGU